CCUACGGGAGGCAGCAGUGAGGAAUAUUCGGCAAUGGGCGCAAGCCUGAACCAGCAAAGUAGCGUGAGGGAUGACUGCCCUACGGUCUGAACACUUCUUUUUUAAAGGAGUAAAUUCAGGCACGUGUGCCUUUUUGUCUGUACUUUAUGAAUAAGGAUCAGCUAACUCCGUGCCAUCAGCCGCGGUAAUACGGUGGAUACGAGCGUUAUCCGGAUUUAUUGGGUUUAAAGGGAGCGUAGAUGGGGUGUUAAGUCAGUUGUGAAAGGUUGCGGCUCAACCGUAAAAUUGCAAUGGAUACUGGAAGACUUGAGUACAGUUGAGGUAGGCGGAAUUCGUGGUGUAGCGGUGAAAUGCUCAGAUAUCACGAAGAACACCGAUGGCGAAGGCAGCCUACUAAACUGCCACUGACAUUGAUGCUCGAAAGUGUGGGUAUCAAACAGGAUUAGAUACCCUUGUAGUC
rnacentral:rRNA from 1 species